UGUAGUUCCUAGCACUAGCAUGAGAGACCAGCCCGGCUCACUCUGCUGUGAGGCCACCCACGCGAGUGCCAGCAACAGAGAAGUUUGUGAACUGGUAGAGGUGGAGCAAUGGGAACAACCAGUCCAGAAAUGUGAAAUGCAACUUUGGUCCAACUCCUUCCACUAGAAGGCUUACUUACAAAUAGAAAACACAGAGGAUGGUCAUGAACUUUUAGGUAUUUCUGGAGCUGUUUUUCCUUGUCUUAGAUCCAGGACACCACUGAUAUGGGUCUGGUGCAGAUCUGCUGUUGUUAUCAGUCUUACCCUCAGCAAUAAAUAAACACGAUGGUGUGGAGAAGUUUCUAAAGGCUGCUGGAUGGAGUCCUGUACAGACUGUCUGUCACCUGUUAAGUUACAUGUGCUGCUCAUGGGAGUCACACUGUGAUGGCUCAGGUGUCCUGCCAGGUGAAGGAGAUGCAGAGAUGAAGAAACCCAGCCUCUAAGGAGCAUGCAGUCAGUUGGUGGAAUCAGAUUUUAAACGGAGCCCAGCCAGAAGACACUAUGAGAGAGCCAGCCUUGGGUGCUGAGGGAACAUGCUGGAGGCUCAGCUGGUGAAGAGGGAUGGCAUUUAGGAAAAAGACUCAGCAGAAGAGAAACUUGGGCUGAGCACUUAACCCACAGGCAGGAGCAAGAAUGAGCAUUGGUAAGGGCUUGUCAGCUGCUGUCAGGUGCUGAAAAAUUCACCUCUUCCAGGAAGAAUCAACCAAGUCACAUGGCCUAUGAGAUGACACAGUGGAUAAAUCACUGGACUUUUAAGCACGAGGUCCCAAGUUUGAUCCCCUGCAAUUGCAUAUUUCAGAG